AGCGAACGCUGGCGGCAGGCCUAACACAUGCAAGUCGAACGAACUCUUCGGAGUUAGUUGCGGACGGGUGAGUAACACGUGGGAACGUGCCUUUUGGUUCGGAAUAACUCAGGGAAACUUGUGCUAAUACCGAAUGUGCCCUUCGGGGGAAAGAUUUAUCGCCAUUAGAGCGGCCCGCGUCUGAUUAGCUAGUUGGUGAGGUAACGGCUCACCAAGGCGACGAUCAGUAGCUGGUCUGAGAGGAUGACCAGCCACACUGGGACUGAGACACGGACCAGACUCCUACGGGAGGCAGCAGUGGGGAAUCUUGCGCAAUGGGCGAAAGCCUGACGCAGCCAUGCCGCGUGAAUGAUGAAGGUCUUAGGAUUGUAAAAUUCUUUCACCGGGGACGAUAAUGACGGUACCCGGAGAAGAAGCCCCGGCUAACUUCGUG
rnacentral:rRNA from 1 species